UACGAAGGGGGCUAGCGUUGCUCGGAUUGACUGGGCGUAAAGGGCGCGUAGGCGGUUCGUACAGUCAGACGUGAAAUUCCUGGGCUCAACCUGGGGGCUGCGUUUGAUACGUGCGGACUUGAGAGCGGAAGAGGGUCGUGGAAUUCCCAGUGUAGAGGUGAAAUUCGUAGAUAUUGGGAAGAACACCGGUGGCGAAGGCGGCGACCUGGUCCGAUACUGACGCUGAGGCGCGAAAGCGUGGGGAGCGAACAGG
rnacentral:rRNA from 1 species